CCGAGUUAGGGUCCUCGUGGCCCGAACCUCCCACCCUUUGUUGUCGAACAAACCAUUGUUGCUUUGGCGGGACCGCCCCGUCUUCGGACGGGCUGCCGGGUCCAACGACCGGGUAAGCGCCCGCCAGAGACCAACCAAACUCUUCGUUUUAACCAAUCGUCUGAGUAAAAUGAUUAAAUCAAUCA
rnacentral:misc_RNA from 1 species